rnacentral:tRNA from 1 species
GGUCCCGUAGUGGAGCGGUUUAACACGCCCGCCUGUCACGCGAGGAGAUCGCGGGUUCGAUUCCCGUCGGGACCGCCA